rnacentral:rRNA from 1 species
UACGUAGGGAGCAAGCGUUGUCCGGAAUCAUUGGGCGUAAAGCGCGCGUAGGCGGCCCGGUAAGUCCGCUGUGAAAGUCCAGGGCUCAACCCUGGAACGCCGGUGGAUACUGCCGGGCUAGAGUCCGGAAGAGGCGAGUGGAAUUCCUGGUGUAGCGGCGAAAUGCGCAGAUAUCAGGAGGAACACCAAUGGCGAAGGCAGCUCGCUGGGACGGUACUGACGCUGAGGCGCGAAAGCGUGGGGAGCAAACAGG